rnacentral:lncRNA from 1 species
UAAUAAAUACAUAAUGUUAUGCAUGCUUGGAAGGCCUAGAUGCUUCUGAUUAAGUGAGUAUGAGUCAGAAAAAUAACUCGGAACCUUGUCAAGCAUAAAUUAUCCAAUCAAAUAUGAAAGAAAUUGUUUCAUUUCAAUAAAGAACCUUGAUUUCCCACACUAUAGAAUUAAUGUGCGGAGAAUGUCUCAAAAAUUGAACAAAUACAUUAAUGCAAUAUCAUUGAUUUGACUUGGUCCCUGUUAGAACAAACCAGUUAUCCAAUCCUACACAUGUUCAGGAGACUAAGAUAUUAUGCUUAAGCCGAAUUGAGGUAGUAACUUGAAGAAGAACUUGGGAAUUAGAGACACCCAUUCUAAAAGGCAAUAAACCGAUCUUUAAAAAUUUAUCCCGGCAUAUUAUUUGACUUGCAUCUCAUGAACUCGUAAACCUGCACAAGAAAAUCAUCAGUUAUAUUUAGAUGAAGCUUAUACUUAAUAUGGAGGAAUAUAUGAAGUAUUAUUUACAAUUCCCAGGCAAUAAUCUAGGCACUCGUAAGUUAUAAGCAUUCCUACAAUCAAAACAUGGGCAACUUCAUUAGCAACAUAGUAACAAUAUUUUGUCAAAGUAUUAUGAAUUUUAAAACCACUCAACUUUUUCUUUGGCUGACAGAUACUAUGCAUUAUGUUAAUUUAAAAAGAACUAUUAAAUGUUUAUAAUUUAUUCAGGACUUAUUCACCAAACAUUCAUGAAUCAAAAGUAAUGGCUUCAAGCUUUAUCACUGGAAGUUAUUAUUUUGCCAUUGUUAAACGUCCUUAUCCACUAGAUUUGCAGAGAAAAUUGAGAAACUUGGCCUGAUUUGGACAAGUCUAAUAUGCAUGCUAAUAGAAUUUUAACUUUGAUCAUACCUAUUACCAUAAAGAGUCGAAGUAACAAGUAGUCUAGGGCAAACCACCAGGUAAGUACCAUAUCGGAUUGACAAAACCAUAACCAUUUUUUUUUUUGAGCUAGAAACUAAUUCCAGCUAGAUAAUUUUCUUAAUUUUAUCUUUUUUAUAUUUCAUCAAUUAUCCAAACACUAAUUCAAGAGUAGUCGGUAAAAUUAAGGAAAACCUCCAUAAAGCUGAGAUUAAACCUUCUCAGUUCACUUGCUCGAUGCCCAAAGUAUGAAUCCAAGUUCAAAAUUAAUGAAUUUUGGGAUUUUAGAUUGACCCCCAAAACCCAAAUUAUGUAAAUUAGAAAAUAACCCAAGCUAUGCAUUUGCUAAAGAAGAUUUUCAGAAAAUGCAGACAAGAAAGGUCCUAUCUAGAAAGCUACCAAAAUAUUCUUUAGGCUAUCUAUUUAAAAACAGAAUUUUCUAGAAGUUAAUUUAUAUUUAAAAUUAUAAUUUCUAGAGGAAAGAUAUCAUGCUUACACCAAUAAUGUGCGCAUGCUACCAAAAUUUGGGGUACAAUGAAUGCAACCUGGACAUGCUUAGGUUCCGCUAGUUUCGAGGCCCUCACAAUUUUUAAUCAAUCCAACAAAAAGACAUUAAUUUGAGAUUGAUUUUUUUACAUGUUGUGCACAUGGGGCCAAUCUAUAAAAGCCCUAAAUAAAAUAAUAACUUCUAGUAUAAUUUUAAACUUUUUAAAUUAUUUUAGAAUUAAUUACAAGAUAUUUAAAAUUUAAUAAGUUGAAACAUAGCUCUAAAGUUAGAUUAUUAAAUACUAUUUUCCAUGAUAGGUAGUGUAUUUUCAUAAAAAAAUUAUUUAUUUUAAAUUAUGUAUAAAUGUUUAAAACAUAUUUUGAAAUCAUAGGAAGAAAAAAGAUAAGUUGUAUCAAAAGAAAUAU